GAGAGAGAGAGAAAAGAAUGUCUAUUUAAGUCAUGGUUACACUGGACCCAAGACUUGGUGUACACGCUAUAAAGGGUGCAAUAUACUACAAGAGCACACUUACAAAGCUACUCAGGUAAGCUUUGAACUGCAGAAUAGAGGGAUGACUUAAGGUAAAAAAAAACAAAAAAUGCCCUUAUGUCAAUGGAUAUUCAUCAAUAAGGGAGGAGUGGAGGAGGAGGUCAAGGAGGAGCAGAGAGAAAGAGAGAGAGAGAGGGUGAGAGAAAGAGAGAGAGUUGAGGUAGGAGGACAUAGCUGAAGAUAUAACAAGUGACCCACCUGGCCUUCUUUCAAAUACACAGGCUCAAGACCAGAAAUUUUAGGGAGAGAGAGUACAGUCACUUAUAUCAACUAUUUGACUGAUAUUUAUUUAAUCAACCCUAGAAGGAUGAAAAGCAAAGUGAAUUUAGCAAGAUUUGAACUCAACAUAAAGGGCCAUAAUUAAAUACUGAAAGGUAUUUCGUUUGAUGUUCUAAUGAUUUUGUCAGUUCACUGCCCAAAACAUAAUAAUAAUUCUUUUAAAUUUUGGCACAAGGCCUGAAAUUUUGGGGGAGGUAACUAGCUGAUUACAUCGACAACCAGUAUCUGACUGGCAUUUAUUUUAUUGACCCCUGAAGAAUGAAAGACAAAGUCAACCUGAAUUGAAUUUGAACUCACAAUGUAAAGUUGGAAGAAAUACUACUAAGCACUGUGCCUGACACACUAGCAAUUUUGUCAGCUGGUCUUAAUAAUAAUAAUCCUUUCUACUAAAGGCACAAGGCCUGAAAUUUGUUGGGAGAGGAUUAGACAAUUACAUCGAUCCCAGUGCUUCUCUAGUACUUAAUUUAUCGACCCUGAAAGGAAGAAAGG